UUACCAACCCGAUGCAAACUGCGAAUACCGGAGAAUGUUAUCACGGGAGACACACGGCGGGUGCUAACGUCCGUCGUGAAGAGGGAAACAACCCAGACCGCCAGCUAAGGUCCCAAAGUCAUGGUUAAGUGGGAAACGAUGUGGGAAGGCCCAGACAGCCAGGAUGUUGGCUUAGAAGCAGCCAUCAUUUAAAGAAAGCGUAAUAGCUCACUGGUCGAGUCGGCCUGCGCGGAAGAUGUAACGGGGCUAAACCAUGCACCGAAGCUGCGGCAGCGACGCUGAUGCGUUGUUGGGUAGGGGAGCGUUCUGUAAGCCUGUGAAGGUGGCCUGUGAGGGUUGCUGGAGGUAUCAGAAGUGCGAAUGCUGACAUAAGUAACGAUAAAGCGGGUGAAAAGCCCGCUCGCCGGAAGACCAAGGGUUCCUGUCCAACGUUAAUCGGGGCAGGGUGAGUCGACCCCUAAGGCGAGGCCGAAAGGCGUAGUCGAUGGGAAACGGGUUAAUAUUCCCGUACUUGGUGUUACUGCGAAGGGGGGACGGAGAAGGCUAUGUUGGCCGGGCGACGGUUGUCCCGGUUUAAGCGUGUAGGUGUGUGUUCCAGGUAAAUCCGGUUCACUUUAACACUGAGGCGUGAUGACGAGGCACUACGGUGCUGAAGCAACAAAUGCCCUGCUUCCAGGAAAAGCCUCUAAGCAUCAGGUAACAUCAAAUCGUACCCCAAACCGACACAGGUGGUCAGGUAGAGAAUACCAAGGCGCUUGAGAGAACUCGGGUGAAGGAACUAGGCAAAAUGGUGCCGUAACUUCGGGAGAAGGCACGCUGACAC
rnacentral:rRNA from 1 species